rnacentral:lncRNA from 1 species
AUUGACUUGAAUCGAGCCAUUUCAGCCCAUGAUACAAGAAACAUGUUGGCUGAGUAGGCAUCUGCUAUUCGAUGAUCAAAUGUGCAUGCCACCACUAUUCCGCCGCAUCUAAGUUCUGUUGCCUGUAAGUAUUAUAUACAUACAAGUUUAGUUCUCGUUUAUUUCCAAAAAGAAAAGUAGUUUAGUUCUCGCUAAAAAUCGCUCAAUAGGUAAAAACUAAAAUUGAAGCUUUAAAUUAACUAUUAAAGUUACUAAUAUUUAGCUACCAACUUCAAAUAUAGAAAGUAAUUAAAGUCAACAUGAAGAAUAUAAAAGGAAAAUAUUAUUUUUUUGUUAAUUAUCAUAGUUAAUAUAUUGUUAAUGAAUAAUUCCUUAGCCUUAUUCUAUGAUUAUUAACAAAUCCUGACUCUCAGGACAGUCAUCAUGUAUGCUACCACAUGAUGAUAUAUAUUAUUAUUUGUUUCAUAUUGAUUAAAUUGUGGCAUAGAUGAUCUAAAACUUAGACAUAUUGCAGUAUUCUAAUAGAUUUUUAAAAAAAAAAAUCAUUUAGGGUGGUCUAAGCAGGCCGGAAAGGAAGUUGUCGGCCCCAUCAAAUUUGUCGUCGUCUAGUGGAAAACAGAUAUUAAUUCUGUGUCGAAGGAAUGAAUCUGAGUGUGUUUCUUUGUUUUUAUUCAGACGUUAGGGAAAUGGUUGAAGUUAAAGUAGAGAAUCCUUUAUAGUACCUGAACUGAGAGCACUCCAUGUUUCUUCUGAGGUACGAGUUUGCCUUCAAUGCUUUCAUCAGGGUUAUGCAAGUCGAGGUCUCGAAGCUCAACAUCAGCAUAAGCUUCUACGAAAUCCACCCCACGGUUGUUGCAAAGCAGCUCGGGCUCGCCCACAUUGUUAGCCACAACCUCACCCGCAAAGGCGUAGUAGUAGACCAGAGCCUGAGCCAUGGCUUCCUUCAGAACACUGGCCAUGGAAGUGAAGCUCACGAUGCUGCUUUCUGGUUUCUUGUAACAAAAAGAAACUCCCACGUUGACGGGAGGCAGAAGCAAGUCAAGGUUAGAGAGUGGUAGCCAGUGUUGUUGCAAUGGUAACACUGCUGCCACAGUUUCAUCCUUGCUCACCGUCACCGUGAAAUCUGCUUUUGCGCCCAUGCCUGCCUACCUAUUAGCUCUGGGGUUCUAUUUUACUUUUUUGUUCUGUUUCUUGGUGGGAUAUAUCGUAUCAGAAUGGUAAUAAUGAGUUUGCAUGAGCAUCGUAACUUCAAUUUAUAGGCAAAGAAAGUAUUUAAGAGUGUUUCAUCUAAUCCUAUUACUAAACAAUUAAUAAACUAAAAGAUUUAGGAUUUAGAGUUUAAGAUAUAAAUUACACUUACGUACUCUAAAUUGUUAUCCACUUAUUUUGUGUGAUGUACAUUUUCUGUUGUACUUAUUUUGUCCACUUAUUUUGUGUGGUGUACAUUUUCUUCAUGCAUGGCUCAUACACCUGCUUUAGCUGUUGUAUUUUCAUUAUCCAACAAGGUUAGAAAAAAUACUUCUCGGCCUAUAAUCAAUUUGUCUCGUUUAUACUCUAAUUCUAUAACUUCUCUAUGUUGAAUCAUGGGCCUAUCUUUGAUUUAGCUUAUCUGUUCCUAAUCCAGUUUUGGAUAUUUGCUGUAGUAUUCCCAGCUCUUAUGCAAUUCUUAUUUUAUGGCUAAAGUCAUUAAACCAGCAAAAAGUUUAUAUCCAUGGAAACACAAAUGAAUUAUUCAUAAAUUUAUUAUUAUAUAUUACCAAUAACCCCAAAAAGCAGGCGAUGAAGGCAUGGUCACAACCCAGAGUAAGGUCAUUAAACUUGCAUGGCUUCUAUCUAUGUUCAUCUCUGACUUUAUUAUUCUAUUCAAUUACAACUGAAAAAAUAAAAUGCAUCCGGAAAGCGAAAUUGAGGAAUGCUCACACAUGAACAGCUUUGGUGAAGUGGUAAUGAGUGUGCAAACUAAAUGGGCCUUUCUUGGGAAAACGGUGUGGAAAUUUUAUUUUCAUAUUUAAAAACUCAAGUUGUUUUAAAAAGCAUUGAAAGCUGAAAGCAUGUCAGAUAGUUGUGAUAAUGAUACUAUAAAGCAAUCCAUUCAUCCGACUAGUCAACUUUAUAUGGCUACCAGCUGUCGUGUAAUUUGGUGUCCCUCUCCAAACUUUUUAUUUGCACGUGGAAUGCAUGUUUCAUAUAUUUUCUUAAGAUUCUUUUAUUUAAUAUAUAAAAUAAAAAAACUUUUAGCAAUACUGUUACUUUAUAUUAUUUUUAACAAGAAAAUUAAAUGAAAGGAAAAAAAACUAUUAAGGUCAAAUUUUUAGGAUGAUAAUAUUUAAUGUAAAAUUUGUUAUAAAGUAGCGCACACUGGAUUAUUAACUUAAUUUGAUUUGUGAAACAGGUUGAGGAAAUUGAGGGGUUUGGAGAGAGAGAUAUAAUGAAAAAGAAGAAUUAUUUUGUUAACUUUAAAUUUGGUUUCAAACUAACUAUCCCACAAACAUUCUGAAUAAUGUGGGAAUCCAAUUUUCAAACAACUAGUAAUAUCAAAUCAACAUUAAUUUGAAUCUCAAAACUGCUUCCAAUAAUAUUCUAUAUAUUAGAUUUCUAUUUUAAAAAAUGAGUUUUGAUACAGAAUAUAGGCCCGAAUUUUAGGAACUUUGUUGUUUUUUUUAUUACUAUUUUACCACUCUUUUUUCAUUGUUUUGCUAUCAUUUCGUAAUUAUAUUGCUAUUGUUUUGUUAUUAUGGUUUGGACAUUGUAUAUCUCUUAUUUUAUUAUUAAUUUUGUUACUAUAUUGAAGGAAUUGAUUUUCCGGAAAAUCAUUUCUAACUUUUCCAGUGUUUGAUUGGCGGAAAACGUUUUCCAUUUGGAAAAUGAACUCCAAAACAAGGGAAAAUGGGUUACAUUUUAGGGAAAAUGUCUUACCCUUUCAAUUUCCGUAAGACAUUUUCCGUGCUCUCCUCUCUAUCGCCUCCUUCAUUCCUUCCUUCAUUUCCGGUAGAAAAUUGCUUCUGUUUAUCGAUUUUCCAGUAACUUGUUUUUUUUAAUUAUUCAAUACUUGUUUUUUAACACAAUUAUAAAUAAUUUAUUUGAUAUUAAAUUUUUUCAAUUUAUAACGAUUAAUAUUGUAGCUUAAUAAUUGAUUAUUAUUAUAAAUAAAUCAUUGCAAUAUAUGUAAAAAUAAUUUAAAAUAUAAAAAUUUAUUAAUAUAUAUCAAUAUAUGUAAAAAAAAAUUUUCGAAAAAUAUUUCCAAGAAAUCUGCCAAACAGCCGAAAAUAUUUUACACAGAUUCAAUCAAACACCAGAGAAUAUUUUCUAGUAAAUCAUUUUACUGAAAAGUAAAACAUUUUCCCGAAAUCAUUUUACGGAAAAUAUUUUACUGGCAAUCAAACAGACCCUAAUUUAGAGAUAUUUGCCUACUAAGUUGCACUUAUAUUACUGUUAUUUAAGUAUAUUUUUUUAAUUUUUUUCAUUUGUUUUGAAACAUUUAUUUUAAUGUUGUUGUGUAUUUGAUAUAUUAUAUUUUUAAAUUUUAUUUUUAUAUAAAAAAUUUUAAUAUAAGCGAGUCAAGUCUUAACCUAGAAUUUUUACUUGACCCGACCCGAAAUCAACCUAAUCCAAUCCAUGAACAACUCUACUAUGUACUAUGAGUUGCAACUUGCUUCUGUAUAGUCUAGUGUAAUAAGAGUAGUGUCCAUGGUAGUGUCUAUUAUUAGGGGUUUCUUUCAUUAAUAAUAUGGAAAAAAAAAGUAUUAUAAAAAUAGGAUGACCACAUCACCUAUAAAAAUAAUGUUUUAAUAAAAAAAUUAAAAAUUUUAAUUUCGAAAGGAGUAACGCCAAACAAGGAGCGACACCCUUUUUCACAUGCACUUUUACUCUUUAUAUAUAUAUAUAUAUAUAAAACAAAUCUUAUAUUUUUAUAGUUUUUAUAAUUUUAUUUUAUAAAAAAGCUAAGUUGUUUUAUUUUUAUAAUUUUUAAUAUUUAAUAUUUAAAAUAAUGACCAAUUUGAUAAAAUUUUAGUAAAAUUGACAUAAAAAUAUUAGGGUAAACUAUCUAAAUAUUCACUCAAUUUUUUUAGCAAGUUCUUAUUUUAGUCAUAAAAAUUUUAAUAUUUAUAAAAAAAUUGGUUGAGUUGUUUUAUUUUUUUAAUAAUUAUAAUUAUAAAUUUUUGAAUAUUUAGAAUAAUACCGAGUUGAUAAUGUGUAAACGUUAAGGGCGAAAUGUGCUAAUUUUUUUAAAAAUAGAAUCAACUUAAUAGAAUGUGUAAAAUAUUAGGGAUUAAAUUUGUUAUUAUACCAAUAAAAAGAAAGCUACAAUAACAUUUGUUGGAUGACCAUAUAUUUUAAUGGUGGAGUGACUAAAAUUGAAAAUUCACCUAAAGGAGUGACGAAAUUAACCCAAAAAAAAAGUUGGUAACCAAAAUAAAAACUUGUUAAAAAUUUUGAGUGACUAUUUAAAUAAUUUAUCUUAAUUUUUUAUGUCAAUUUUAUCAAAAAAUUAUCAUUUUGGACAUUAUUCUAAAUAUUAAAAUAUUAUAAUUAUAAAAUAUUAUAAAAUUAGGAAAAUAAAACAACGUUACCUUUUUUAUUAAUAUAAAAACUAUAAAAAAUAUAAAUAUGAAUUUUGAUUAAAAAAAUACAAAAGAAAAAGAAAAAGUGCAUGUGAAAAAGGGUGUCACUCCUUGUCCUCGUUAGGAAACAUCCCUUUUGAGGGCAAAUUACCAAAAAAACCUUAUUUUUUUAAAAUUUAUCGAAAUGGGUCCGGUAUUUUAUUAUUUACCGGAAUAGGUCAUUUUUCCCGAAAUCGCAUCCACGUCAGCGCGAUGUCAGGGGACGUGUCAGAACAUCGCGUCCACGUCAGCGCGCUUUGCUUACGUGGACACAAAUCGCGCCUUCGAGGACGCGAUUUGUUGACGUGGAUGAACAGUUUAUGUUUUUUAGCUUGGAAAACCUUGAAAGGCCAUAACUUUUGGCUCGGUUGUUCGAUUGAGACAAUUUUUUUUAUUUCGAAUAUCUUUUCGAGAUCUACGCGCUGACAAACCGCCGCAGUUUUCGUCGAAAAAGAUCUUUUUUUGCCCCUAAAUUUUAAUUUUUUCGGUUUAAAAUUGAAUUUUGAAACAUUCAAAUCAUUAUUUUCCUUAUUUAUUUGAAGUAAACACCGGAUUUUUUUUACAAAAUUGUUGUAUUAUUUUUCUGAUUUGACACAUGUAUGGAAUAGGUCUGAUAAAUCGUUAGAACGUAAGUAAUAUAAUUAAGAUAAUAACAGUAUUUCUAUAAUAUGUCAAUUAAUUAGUUUAGCUUAGUUGGUUAAGAUGCUUGCUCUUUUCCCUUAGUACCUUGAUUCAAAUCUUGUUGGUAAUAAUUUUGAAUCUUUUUUGUACUUGUUGCUAUUGAUGUAAUAUUGAAGAGUUAAUUGAUUAAAAAAUGAAUACAAGUACAAAAAGAUUCAAAAUUUAUUUUUUCAAAAUACCAAAAAAGCCCUAUAUUUUUAAAAUUUAUCGAAAUGGGCCCAGUAUUUUAUUUUUUUGACCGUUGGGUACAGUUCACGCGCGGGCCGAAAUUGCGUCCACGUCAGCAUCUCGCGCUGACGUGGACGCGAUUUUCUGACGCGUACCCUGACAUCGCGCUAACAUGGACGCAAUUUCCCGAAAAAAAGACCAUUCCGGUAAAUAAUUAAAAAAUGGGCCCAUUUCGAUAAUUUUUGAAAAAAAAAAAGACUUUUAUUGGUAAAUUGCCCCCCUUUUGAAAUUGAAAUAUUAUUUUAUUUAUUUUUAUAAGUAGUCUCGUUUAAUAUAUCGGUGACAUCACCUUUUAAUGUUGGAAACAAUCCAUGCUCAUAAACAAUCUACUUUCAUCCCAUUUAGUAACUAUUUAUUUUUCUUAUUAUUGAUUUAAAAAAAUUCCUCUAUCAUUAUUGUAAUAGGCCAAUUUGCCCGGCCCAUUUUGUUAAACCAAAUAAAAAAGAAAAAAAAACAAAAUAUUAAAGUUUAGCCCAAAUGUCCAUUUACAAGCCCAAUACUAUAUAAACCUAACCCGAAUUACCCCAAUACACCCCAGCCCAAUAGCCAACUCAGCCCAAAUGGCCCAAUACCAGAAUACACAACAGUAAACCCUAGCAGCUUCUUGCCCUCGCGCUGCAAUCAAACACAGGCUCUGCCCUCGUGCGUGCGCCACCUCUGAGCCGUUCCUCGCACGCGCUUCCGUACGCUCCAGCUGGUCGUACCUGCACACAAGCAAACAAACAGCGAGCAAAGGAAGCAAAAUAACAGAAGGGCCAGCGAAUAUAGAGAUUUUUUAUUUACUGUAAUUUCAUUCGAUUUUGGCUAUAAAAGGGCCAAAAGAAUAUGUACGGAGGAUCCUUUUUUUUUUACACACAGACACGAAAUCAAUACAAAAAUACAAAAAAAAAUCAAAAAUAGGAAAGAAUACAUCGUUUAGGUGAUUCUCCGAUUCCGUUUUAUUUGAUUUGAUUUUAUUUUUCCUUUGUUGUUUUCUUCGAUUUGUUCUUAUUUUAUAUACGAAAAGUAUAGAGAAAGGUGGGGAUCUUACCUCGACGUCGGCGCCAAUGAAGCCUUUUUCCCCUCUGUGUGAAUCAGAGUGGGAUGGGCGGAGGCCUGGGUUUUGGAACGGCAGAGGGUGGUUGCGGAUUUGUAGCGUUUGAGAGGCAAAAAUGCCCAAAUUUUUGUCAUGUGGCUGAAAUAAUUUUAGGGUUUUUUGAAAAUAGUUCUUAUAGGGCAUUUAUACGACAUCGUUUGGGACCUGAAUCAGUGGCCCCCAAAACGGCAUCGUAUUUGCUCAAACCCGUGCGGUGACCCGACCCGAGAGAAGGAUCCGUGCGUUUCAUAUCAUUGGUUUAUUUGCGCGAUGAGUCCCUAUGUGUUCUAUAUAGUUUCAAUUUGAUCUUCUUCAACUUCUUUAAUUUGUGCCGCAUUUUUUAUUCUGAUUUCAUUUUGGUCCAAGAUCAAACGGUGGCGUUUUUGUUCUCUGGAUUUGAAUUCUUGAAGUUGUGCGCUUAAUUGUUACUUUAGUCCUUAGUUUUGAAUUGAUUGUAAAUUUAGUCCUUUGAAUGUUGUAAUUUUAAUGCGAUUACUUUUUAUUAUUCUUAUUUUUUAGUAUUUCAUUUAAUUUUGUAAAUGUUUAUUGUUUUUAUGAUAACUAAACCUUUUAUUAUUAUUUUUACUUUAAAUUAAGUUUCAAUUCAAAUUUAGUUUUUAAUAGCAUAAUUGUAAAUUGGAUUGGUAUCUAUUUAAAAUUUAUUUAUAGUAUAUUUUAACAUCUGUUUGACAUUGUUUUUAAGUUUAUUAAUAUAAUUUUAAGAUAUAUUAUUAUUUUUAAUUUAUCAUACAUUUUUAAAAAAAAAUCUAUUAUAUACUAUUAUUUUAAAAUUUAUUUUGUAUUAUGUUUUGUUAUAUAUUCAUUAUCACUUAGAUUAAUCAUUUUUUAUAUAAAUUCGUUAUAUCAUAUAUACAUUCUUUAAUGUUUUUAUUCUAUAAUAUUUUUUCUUUAAUUUCACUCAUUAUAUAUUUUUUAUUUGUAUAAAAGUUUUUUUUAAAAUGUAAUAUUAUUAUAUAUAUGUACAUAAUUAUUUUUAAAUAUAUAUAUAUCUUCCUCCAUAUUUUGUAUAUUUCAACUUUUACAUAUUAUUAUAUAGAUCAUUAUUUAUAUUGAGUUUUCACCUUAUGCGUACUACUUGUUAAAUUAAUAAAUGUAUAUUACUUGUUUCAAAUUUAUUUUAAAUAUUAUUAUUCAAUGUUAUUAUUUUAAGUUCAUGUAUAAAUAUUUUUUAAAAAAGAACUUUUGUGCAUAGGACUCAUUAAGUAUAAUUCUUCCUUCUAGUAUCCUGGUAUAUUUUUGGAAAAAUGUUCAUUGAUUCAUUCAAACUUUAAUUAUUAAUAUUGAUGUAUGUAUAAUAUGAUUAAAACCAUUGCUUGUAUUUGCCUAUUAAUUGCUUGAUUGCUUCUAGUUUAUGUUUAGAUUGUUAUUUAUCUUUUACACUAUAUGUAUUGUUAUUCAAUCAUGUUCCAAUUAAGAGUUGUAUUUUAUUAAAGCACUACAAUCAUUUUAUUUCAUAAUUUCCAAAAAAGCUUAGCGUUCAUAGCUCUCGAGAGAAUUGUGCCCUAACUCAUUGGGCUUCAAUUUUUCUCGACGAAUUUAGGUAUCCAAGUGUUUAUUUUAUUUAAAACCAUACAGUUUUAAAAUAAAGCAUUUAAGAUUUCAAGAUGUUGGAUCCUAACUUACUGGAUAUGACAUUUUGUUAUCUUAAUUUUAAAAUAAAGGUAAUAUUUGGUGUUUAGGAAUUUUAAGAAAAUUGAACCCUAACUUAGUGGGUUUUGAUUUCUCGAUUGACCCAAAUAACCAAAUAUCCUUCUCAAAAUGUAUGAAUUUUGAAAAUUUGAAAAGACGAAUCUAACUUCGAAGAUUGAAUCGUUGCACUCUAACUCACUGAGUGUGACGGUUUAUUUCUUUAAAGUGGGUAGGUCUUAUUUUCCAAUUCGAUUAUUAAAUUUUUUUUCAAAGGAUCGUAUUUUAAAAUCUUUUCAAAUUCUCGACACUAAGACAUUAAACAAUUGAUUCGGUACCAAUUUUGGGCGUCACGAGGGUGCUAACCCUUCCUCGUGCGUAACCGACUCCCGAACCUAUUUUCUCAAAGUUUGUUGACCUAAAAUCAUUUUCAAAGUAAUCCGAUCAUACCUCAUUAAAAGAUCGGUGGCGACUCCCAUUUUAUUUUCAAAGUCGAUCCCCGUUUUUUUAAUAAAAAUAGUUUCGACAAUUAUCAUUGUGUUCCUAGAUUUCAAAAAUUGCAAUAUUAAUCCACCUUACAAAAUGUUAGGUGGAGAGUACGAUGUUGUACAAAAGAGCCCCUCCUCGACUUUGUGGAAGUUCAAUGUUUGGACCACGAAUUGCUGCAUUAUUGUUUUCUUUUCUUUUUCUGGUUAUUUACUUUUACAGUGUAUAACUAUAUUAAAUUACACAUUAAAUAAAAAAUUAUGUGUAAUUAUAUAUGUCACUGGUGAUGUCAUUUGUACUUUGUAUUAAUCUAAUAUUACUUUUCAAAAGUAUUUUUUGAACUAAAAUAUGGGUAAAAUACCAAAAAAAGCCCUAUUUUUAAAAAAGUUACCAAAAUAAGCUCGGUAUUUUAUUAUUUACCGGAAUGAGCCAUUUUCCCCAAAAUUGCGUCCACGUCAGCGCGAUGUCAGGGGACGUGUCAGCAAAUCACGUCCACGUCAGCGCACUUUGCUUACGUGGACACAAAUCGCGCCUACGAGGACGCGAUUUGCUGACACGUCCCUUGACAUCGCGCUGACGUGGACGCAAUUUUGGGAAAAAUGGUCCAUUCCGGUAAAUAAUAAAAUACCGGGCCUAUUUCAGAAAAUUUUAAAAAAUAGGGCUUUUAUGUGUAAUUUGCCCCUAAUAAUACAUAUUAAUGUAUUAUUGUAAUAUGUAGCUCAAAUUAUGUAUAGUAGUUAAUAUUCAUAAUAUUGUAGCUCAAAUUGUCAAUCCGUCUAUACUAUUGUACUAAUAAUAUAUAUUAAUGUAAUAUUGAAGAGUUAAUUGAUUAAAAAAAUAAAUGCAACAAGUAAAAAAAAAAUUCAAAGUUAUUACCAACAAGAUUUAAACCAAGGUACUAAGAGAAAAGAGCAAGCAUCUUAACCAACUAAGCUAAACUAAUUAAUUGACAUAUUAUAAAAAUAUUGUUAUUAUCUUAAUUAUAUUACUUACGUUCUAACGAUUUAUCGGACCUAUUCCAUAUACGUGUCAAAUAAAAAAAACAAUAUAACAAUUCUGUAAAAAAAAAUCCGGUGUUUACUUCAAAUAAAUAAGGAAAAUAUUUAUUUGAAUGUUUCAAAAUUCAAUUUUAAACCGAAAAAAUCAAAAUUUAGAGGCAAAAAAGGAUCUUUUUCGACGAAAACUACGGCAAACCGCCUUCGGCUGCUUGUCAGCGUGUAGAUCUCGAAAAGUUAUUCGAAAUAAAAAAAAUCGUCUCAAUCGGACAACCGAGCCAAAAGUUAUGGCCUUUCAAAGUUUUCCAAGCUAAAAAACAUAAACUGUUCAUGAAUUAUUGCUUCCACGUCAGCAAAUCGCGCUUACGUGGACGCGAUUUGUUGCCACGUAAGUAAUCGCGCUGACGUGGACGCGAUUUGCUGACACACCCCCUGACAUCGCGCUGACGUAGACGCGAUUUCGAGAAAAAUAGCUCAUUCCGGUAAAUAAUAAAAUAUCGGGCCUAUUUCGGUAAAUUUAAAAAAAAUAGGACUUUUAUGUGUAAUUUACCCCUAAAAUAUACUUUUUAAAGAAAAGUUAAAAGAGCCCGUCCUCGACUUUGUGGAAGUUCAAUGUUUGGACCACGAAUUGCUGCAUUAUUAUUUUCUUUCUUUUUUUGGUUAUUUACUUUUGCCGCGUAUAACUAUAUUAAAUUACACAUUAAAUAAAAAAUUAUGUGUAAUUAUAUAUGCCAUUGGUUGUGUUAAUCUAAUAUUACUUUUCAAAAGUAUUUUUUUGAACUAAAAUGUACUUUUAAAGAAAAGUUAAAAUUUUCUAUUUCUGUUUUUUAUAAUAAUAAAAAAGAGAGUACUUUUUCAAUCCACAUUUAUAUAGGAAACAUGGAGCACAAAUUUUUAUAUUUAUAACAUAAUAUUUUUGUUAUUGGGCUGCGAACCUUUUUCAUAUAAAUAACAACAAUUUUGAACAAACAAAAACAGCGACAUUUGAUUACUAUUUAUUGAGUUCAAAAUUGAGCCGAUAUGGCAAGAAACAUUUCAUUUGCUAUAUAAAUAAUUUAGUUGGGUCUGAAUAUAAAAAAAAAUGAAUUUGUUGAAUUUUUAAGAAUUUUUCACUACCUAAUAAACAUUCAAUAAAUUCAUAUAUUUGAAAAAUAUUCAAGAAUGUUAUAUAUAUAUUUAAAAAUCCAAAAUCAAAAUUAAAAAAAAAAAAGAGAGUAAGUUUUCAAAUGUUACCUAACUUAAACUCUUUGAAUAAGAUGAUAAACAUCCAGUUUAAAAAUUGGUUGGAACAAUUGGGUUAGUUGUCGAAAUAUUACUAAUGACAUAGUAAUGCAGACGGUAGCAAAAAAAUAUUACUAUUUUUUCCAACUUUCCAACGCAUGGAUGACAAUUACAACCACAAAAUAAGUUGGUGAAUGCAAAGUUUACUCCUAUUCCCUUAAUCUCUAUUUUCUCAUUUUCUGCCUCAUUCUUGUGUCUUUAUUAACGUAUGUAUAAUGUUCUUAGAUCGGAUGAUUUUCUUUUAAAUGUAAGAAUAUAAAAACACUCUUAUAUUAUUAUAAUUUACUUUGUAAUUUUUUUUUUAUAAUUUUCCUCUACUUUUAACCUACGCGUAUAAACAUGCAUUACGCUAUUGCUAGCUUAGUAAGUACAACUAUUAUUUAGACCAUAAUCUAUAAAUUAUAACUUAUUUAUUAUCACUACACAGAAUCAUUUAAAUGACCUGUUUGUACUCAUCAUACAUAAUUUACCAAUCAAUUAGCUUAUUUUUUUACAAUUAGGUCCACAUUUAUUAUUUUCUCAUUAAACACCAACUAAACAUAUUGAUUUAAUUAUCAUCUAUUCAAUACCAGAAUCACAUGAUUUAUUUUAAAUUCUCAUUUACUCCAUUUAGCUAAAAUUUCUCAUAUUUUACUUUACUUAUUUCAACCAUAUAUAUAUAUAUAUUUUAAAUUUCAUAACUUUUCAACAGAUAUAAUCUUAUAUGAUUCAAUAAUCACUAAAAUAGUUAUGUACCUUUUUCAGAGGCCCAAUAGACUUAAUAGAACACACAGGAUAUACGGAACAGAAUAAAACACCACCAAAACGGAUAAACACUCUUUUUAUUUUAUUUACCAUUUUAUCCUCACUAUUCACACUUUUUACUAUUUAUCCUUGAUCAUUACCUUCCAUAAUUAUCUUUUUCAAUUCAUUUAUCAUUUUACCCCUUUACUUUUUUUUUACGAUACCAUCCAUAUGUCCUAGUUCCUUUUGGUAUAUUUUUACAUCUAGUCUUUCCUACUUUUUCAUCAAUUUAAUUUAAUCCUUCAACACCCAAUUUUCUCACAUUGUCCCAAUACUUUCCAUUAAUUUAAUCAUUUUCCAAAUAUAUUUAUAUUAAUAUUCAUACUUUUCCAAAUAUCUUAUGUCUAUCUUUUAUGUCUCGUAACUUUUUAAAUUUUCAAUUUCUGACUUUUCUCAAAAUUUCGACUAAUUUAUUAUAGAUUUAUCACUGUUCAAGGCUCCAGAAAAUUAUUUUUGGGAUGUUACAUAAAUAGUAAGAUUUUUUUUAUAUUUAGGAUUGAUAUCCAACUGUUUGAUUUCAAAUUUGGACCAAAAUUUCAUCUAAAUUUUGAACAAAUUUAAUAUAUGAUAUUGGUUUUUAAGGUUGAUGAUAUUUAAUAUUUUAAGGUAAAUAUACGAAUUUGGAUUUAAAGUUGAUGAGAUUAAAUAUAUUUAUCCCAUAACUAUCCUUCUAUUUUUUUCUCGUGUACCGUUGAGCAGAAGAAUAGCUUUAGUGUAGAUUGGGUUAGGUUAUGUGUUUAAAUUCGAACAACCGCUCGAAAUUUAAAAAGGUUUGAGUGAAAAUAUUAGACUCGAAGAAUGAACUUGGACAAAAAAUUAGGGCCGUUUAAAAUAUGAGUUGAGCUUGAGCUUAAACCUUCAAGACUUGAGUUUAGAGGUGUCCAUGGGCUGGGCGGCCCGGCCCGAUGGCCCGCCCGAAAUAUGGGAGGGUUCGGGUAAAAAUAUAGGCCCGAAAUAUGGGUUUGGGCAAAAAAAUAAGGCCCGUUUAAAAAACAGGCCUGGCCUCGGGCACCACUUUUUUUGCCUGGGCCCUGCCCGAAUUUAAUAAAAAUAUAUUUUUUAUUUUUAUUUUUUAAUUUUAAAAUAUUUUUAAAAUACUGUUAUUUUAAUUUUUUUUAUUUUUACAAUUAUUUUUUGGUGUUUAUUAAAAAAUGGGCUGGGUCGGGCCGGGCUCGGGCUUAGGAUUUUAUUCUCGGGCCGGGCCUAAAAAAAAAUUCCAGGCCCAUAUUUUGGGCCGGGCAGGGCUCGGGCCUAGGAGACGGGUUGAAAUCUUUUCUGGCCCAGCCCGAACCCGGCCCGGCCCAUGGACACCUCUACUUGAGUUCAGCCUUGUAACACCCCUUACUCUACCUGGUCGUCGGAUUCGAAUAAUGGAAUGUCACAUUUGUUACAAAAGCAAUCCACAUCAAGAACAUUCAAAUUUAAAACACAAUUUAUAAUUAUUACCAAUCACAUACCAUACAUACAUAAUUAUUACCAAUCACAUACCAUACAUACAAUCAAAAUUUCAUAGUUGGUAUCGAUAUUGUAUCGAUACCUUUUUAAAAAUCGAUACCAAAUUACAGUUCUGUUUUCUUUGUAAAUCAAAGGUAUCGAUACUUAUCAACGGGUAUCGAUAGUUUACGAAAAAAUAUUGAUACUUAUAUAAAUAUCGAUAUCAUUUUGUCAUUCUGUUUGUUUUAAAAUUGUUCAUAUAGUUAAGUAUCGAUAUCUAAGUCCAAAAAUGGUAAAAUCUCAUCUUUAAAAUGUCCACUUCAUGACAAAAACACCUAAACCCAAAUGGUAUCUUAUAAACACAAUAAUAACAUAAAAAUCAUCAACUAAGGACCUUCAUAUUCAUUUCCAACAUGUCAAAAACAUUACUUUAAUAAUCAAUCUAAUUACCUAACCAAUAUGCCCAAUUGACACCUCAAAACAUUGAACCUAACAUGCGAUCAUCCACCAUUCAAACCAUCUUUCAAUUGAUUCCAUAUUAGCCUUAUAACUUAUGUGCAAGAAUUAUCAAGUCAUUUCAAACAUGGCAUAGCAUAAGCAUCUUCUUUCCAUACCUAUAUCCUAGUGUAUCACCUAAGUACCUUAUAAAGAAAUAACAUGCUUAUCAAACUACAUAACAAGUCAUCGUUAUCAUGAUCUUUACCAUCACACACACAAAUAUAUACAUAUGAUUAACAAAAUGCCAAUAUAACCCAAAAUGGACAUCAUAUAACCAUAAGACUUAUUAGGUACAUGUCAAGAUUCUCAUAGAAGAAACGGUGUGAUCAAUGGAAUUGUAAAUUAUGAGCUAUAAUAAAUUUUGUGAGACAAGGUCAGAAUGAAUUUGGGUUCCCCUGUUCUUACUUUAGAAAAUCAUUAAAAAUUGUAAAAAAUUAUUAUGAGUUAUAAUUUAUAUGAUUAGAAUCCUUAAUAAGUCUAUUUUAAAAAAGAAUAAACGAGAACAUCAUCUAAAUUCUGUACAAGGAGAUAAUUAAUUUUUGGUGAAGAAGGGUCAAAACUAUCAGACAGCAGAACAAGGAUGACUUUAAAGAAUAAACCGUACUUAUUGGAUAAACCAAAAAUUAUGAAAAUUUUGUGAUAAUAACAUAUGUGAGUCUAGUUUCAAAUAAAAUUUACAGAUCUCAAUUCAGAGUUCUGUAGCGUAAGAUAUAAUUAAUUUAGUAACUAUAACUCAAGUGAACAGCUUGUUAUGAGUAAACAAGUAAAUAGUGGUAAUAUAUAUAUCAAGGAUGUGGAAUGGAGUAGAGGAGGAGGAAAAAUAAUAUAUGUGAAUAUUCAGCUAAUAUGAGUUUAUUUUAAAAUAGCUAAUUUACAUGUUUUAGGUAUAGGGACUAAAUUGAAUAAAAGUAAAAUUUUAAGGGUUGUUUUGUAAAAAUGUAAAAAAGAUCAAAUUGCAUGAAAUGAAUUGUUUUAUCAUUUAAAUUAAUAAAUUGAAUGAAAUAUUAAUUUAGAUCAAGAUUUGGGUGGAAAUUCAAGAAAAAUGGAAAAUUACCAAAAUGUCCCUAAAUUUUGAUAUUUCUACAAUUUAGCCCUAUAAGGUUGUGUAACUUGAAUUAUAUUCUUAGAUGCUUGAAAUGUAUGUUAUUGAUGAAAUAUUGAUAUAUUUGAGAAAAAGAAAAAAAAAUCCCGAUUGAAUGGAAGGAAAAUUCGAGGGAUCUCUGAAAAGGAGUUGACGGUAAAAAGGAUCUAGCCCGGACGGAUGAUCCUAUCUUGAUAUACCCCUCCCGAAGAAUAUGUGUGAAAAAGAUCUAGCCCGGACGGGUGAUCUUGAUAUAGCCCUCCCGAAGAAUAUGAGGAAAAUGGAUUUAGCCCGGACGGGUAAUCCGAAUUAGGGUCUGAAUUUAGCCUGGACUGGUAAUUUAGAUCCAAGCUCAUUAGAGUAAUUGCCGUUGCAGGGGACUUAGCCUGGACUGGUAAUCCCGACAAUACUCUAUGAGUUUAUAUUACAGGGGAUUUAGCCUGGACUGGUAAUCCCGCUGUAAGAAAUGAUGUUCGCUGGAGUGUGCUCUCUGAAUUGAAAAAUGUGUGCACAUGAAUAUGAAUUGACGGACUCGAAUUUGUACACUAAAGUGUACCAUUGAAAAUCCAUCGAAAUUCUGAGAAAUUCAACGGGAUAAAAAUAGAAAAUGAUAAGUACAUAAAAUCAUGAAAAUAAACUUGAAAUACAUAGAAAUGAUAAUUAUUUGAUAUGCUAAAAUAUGACAUGGAAAAUACAUGUAUGUGAAACUUGCCUGAUAAUUAUGCAUAUUCAAGAUUAUGAACUGCUACUGGAAUAAAUAUACAUUGAAUUUAUAAAAAAAUUAUGGUACAUGAAAUAUUGUCAUAAUGAAUUGAAUAAUUUAUAUUUAAGAAGAAACAACAAGAAAAUGAUAUGUAUCAUGACAUGUAAAUAUGAGACUAUCUUUGAUACGUUGAUACAAGGAAAAUUAUGUGUAUUAAGAUUAGUAAUAAAUUUAAGUGAGACAUGGCGAGAAAAUAAGUUUGUCAAUAUUAAAGUACGCUAACUAAUGUUGUUGCUUGAAGUUUAGGCAAGUGCCAAAUUACUGUUGAAUGGUAAUAUGUUUAAUUAAAAGGUGCAUUGGAAUGGUAAGUGCUUAGAUGAAAAUAUAAUUGAGCUUAUGAAAGAGUGGAAAGAUUUCAGUUAUGCAAUUUCUAAUGAAAAGAUUUAUUAUGUGAUACGCCCGUAUGAACCCUACACCUAAUUCGGAAAUAAAAAAAAUUAAAAAAUAUAUAUAUUUAGGAUUCUGCGAAGAAUUCCCUAUGAUUCCGAUUUAUUCCCAGUAGGUUCCUAAUAAAUGUUUUGGGCUUUGAGAGCCCAAUAGAGGGACGUUAUGAUUAUUUUCAGAAUAUGAAUAAUAAAUGAUUCAGAAUAAUUGAAAAUGUACAGUAAACUCCGGAAAUGCCUCGUGCCCUAUUCCGACAACGGAUACGGGUAGGGGGUGUUACACUCUUACCACUGCAUCACUUCCCUCAUUGGUACCCUUGGAUCAUGCACAAAGGUAUAACCCUCCAUUCAAGGGUGAAGGAAAAAAAAUAAGAGUUAUAUAUUUUGGUGAGAGUUAAGAUAUAAUUUUAUCAUUUUAAUAAUUUAUAUCCUUUUAAUUUUUAAAAAAAAAUUAAAUCAAAAGUUAUUAUUUUGAAAUCAAAAUAUAAUUUUAUCAUAUAUAAAUUUAAAAUUUUAUAAAUUUUAAAUUUCUCAUUUUGAGAGGGUAGGCCCUGCCAGCCCCUAAUGCUGCCCCUGCUUGCAUUGCCCAUUCCAACUGCCUACAUUUAGCAUUGCUGCAUCCUUGGGCCAUCUUGGUGUGAUAAAAUUGUGGACUCCUAUUGUCUAUAAGCUUUUUUCUAAAACUUAAUUAUGGUUACCUUGUGAGUAUAUGUCUCUCAUUUAGACUCUAAUUACUAUGCAUUACUUGUUGAAGUACUCUUAUGUUGGAUAUUGGGCGAGUUACUUUUAAGUGGGAACACAAAUGAAUUAUAUAUUUUUAAGAUACAAGAAUAUGGAUUUCACGUUUGUAAACAUUUAUAUAUUUUUUAUAUUCACCAUUGAAUUAAUUAUUUAAUAAACUCAUAAAUUUUAAAAAUAAUCACAAAUGUAUGUUCACAUGCUUUUUUAAUACAUAAGAUUACUAUAUUUCUAUAAUAUCACUUUUUUUGCUGGAAAAAAAGAAAAAAGAAUUGGAAUAUGAAUUAAUGAAAUGAUGGAUUCAUCUAAUAUCGAUUUUUCGUUACAAAUUGCAAAUCAUUUCACUAAAUAAAUGGUUGUGUACAGCGCUUUCAACAUUUCCUAUAUAUUUAGUGCCCCACAAGUUGUAUUGAUCUUAAGCCUUUUUUCGACCAAAACCACCUCUUAUUCUCACAUCUAUCCACCUACGUAAACUUUUUCUACACUGCCUAUAUAUUUAGUGCCCUAUGUGUCCUUAACCUACAUACACCCACAAGUUGUAUUUAUCUUAAGCCUUUUCUCCAUCAAAACCACUUCCUAUUCUCACAUCUAUUCACCUACGUAAAUUUUUUCUACAUUUCUUCUAUAUUUAGUGCCCUAUGUGUCCUUAACCUACAAUACACCUAGACGUUGUAUUUAUCGGAUCACGUUUAAGAUAUUUUGCAUGGUAUUUAUAAUGCUCCGCAAUAAAAAAAUCCAUGGCACCAUAAAUUUCAGCCCAAUGUUCUAGACCUGUUCAUGGGUCGGGUCACUUAGCCCGGCCUGAAGGCUUAUCCGAAAUGUGAGAGGAUUUGAACAAAAAUAUAGUCCCGAAAAAUGGGCUUGGACAAAAGAAAUAAGGCCCGUUUAGAAAAUGGGCUGGGCCUAGGGUAAGACAUCUUUUUCUUGGCCCUGCCCGAAUUCACUAAAUGACAAAAAAAUCUUUUUUUUGGGUCUUUUAAUAUUAUUUUCUUACUGUUUCUCCCUAUUUUGCUACUAUUUUACUAUUAUGUUGUUACUAUUUUGUUAUUAUUGUUUGGAUAUUUUAUAAAACUUAUUUUAUUAUUAUUUUAAAGAUAUUUGUUAAUUUUGUUAUUAUUUUAGUGGCAUUUACUUGUUAAGUUGCAUGUAUCUUAUUGUUAUUUAAGUAUACAUAUUUUUUAAAAUUUAUUUUCAAUUAGUUGAGCAAUAUUUAUUUUGAUGCUUUUAGUAUUUUUGAUGCAUUAUAUAUAUUUUAAAAUUAUAUAAAAAUAAUAUAAAAUUUAAUAUGGGCGGGUCGAGUCGAGUUGGGCCCAAAUUUUAACAUUUUAUCCGGGUUGACCUGGACAAAAUUUUAAACUCAUUUUUCGAGCCGGGCCAAACCCAAGCCUAACAAAUAGACCUAAAUUUUUUGUUGAACCCGGCCCGGCCCGGCUCAUUCACACCCAUAUUUCGAACAUGCAAAGACCUUUUUCCACCAACUUUAUAAGUCCAACAAAUCUUUAUGACUUAUAAAGAAAAAACAAAGGGUUUAACUAAGUCAUUUCCAACCACCACAACAAUGUAAAGUUUAAUUUUGAUGUAGAAAUUUCGGUUCAAAUAAUUUUAAAGAAGCUCUACUGACCAAAAGUGUAUGAGGCGGGAUAUAAUCUCAUGAGUUCCACGUAUUUUAUUUUUAUUUUUAUAUAUACCAGAUUUCAACCAUGUUUUACGUUGAGUUGAUUAUUUAUUUUGUAAUUAAAUUAUGGAGUAUAAAUUUAAAGUUUAUAAUAUGCUCAAAGUUCUUUAACUCUUAGUAUAUUUAGAAUUUAAUCUUCAUACUUUCAAUUUUAAGAAUUUAGUCUCUUUAUUUUUUGAAAUUAAAAAUUUAGAUCCAGUUGUUACCACUGUUAUAAUUCUUUCGUUAAAUUUACUAGAGUGACAUUUUGAAAUUAAAAAGGUAUUCACUUGAUAUCUAUAUAAUAAUAAAAAGACACCGUAAUGAAUCUUGAUAUUUAGUGAUAUGAUAAGAAUCGAGGUGCUAAAUUAAGUUAAAUUUCAAAUUUAAGAGAAAUAUAGAAAUUAAAAUUAAAAUUGAAAAAAUAAAAGGUUAAAAGAUAAAAAUUGACCAUAAUCUUUUGAUGUAAAAAAAGAGACGGCUGUCAUGAGAUGAUAUGGCGAUGUAGAUAUGACAAUUUCACGGUUUGUUUAACUAAUCCAUCCAUACUAAAUUUUCACACUAGCAAACUGGGAGCACGUCACCCUAACUUACAGGGCAACCCCAUCUUGUAAAUGGAUAUACUUCAUUGUCAGUCCAACCGCCACAAUACACUACGUGUUUUCUUAUUUGCAAUGACAGAGUGGUUGCUGGUUAGGCACAUAUAUCACACAUCAUUUGCUUGACUUAAAUCAAAACCCUCAAUUUGUUAAUAAUUUUAUAUGUUUUUAUCUGUUUUACAAUAUGAAUUAAAUUGUGUUCUGAUAUUUAAUUAAAAUUUUUCAAUAAUUAUAAUUUUAGGCUUCAAACUCUGUUUAAAUGCUUGAAAAAUAAAUUCAAUACCAUUUUUUUCCAAUAAUUUAUUAAUGCAUUUUCUUUAAUUAUUCGUGUUGUUUUUUCUAUCACGCUGAUAUUAAUGUAUUAUAAUUUAUUUUAUAUAAAACUGCUUAUGGUUGAUUAUAUAUUUGUUUGGUUGAAUGCCAAAUUUGUUGCCAUAUAAGGUAAUAUAUAAUAUCAAGAAUGAUGUAAUCAUCUCCCCUCGGAAUAACCCUACUCCCAUCUACGAAAUCAAUCAACAUCCCUAAUAAAAUGGGACAGAAAAAUCGGGUUUGGUUUGUUUGACGAAGAUGUUUCCUCUAAUGCCCUAUAUUUAUUUUAGAAUAUUAUUGCAAAAUCCAACUCCACUACUGAGUACUGACUCAUUAUGGCCGAUCUACUUAAUUAAACUCCCCAAAAAAACACAUUUCUUUUUCUUUUCCAAAAUCAAGACUUAAUUCACAAUUUACCUCUUUAAGUAUAUCUUCUUCUUUUGUCUCAAUUUUGUUACUAAACUAUCAAUUUUCUAUAUUAAACAACUAUGGCCAACGAAAAAGUACCACGUGGCAUGUGAAAAAAAUCACGUGGCAAUUAAGUUUAUUUAAAAUAAAAAUAUUAAAUUUAAAAUAAAUAUAAAAAUAAAAUAAUAUUAAAUAUUUAAAUAUUUAAAAAAGUAUUUUUGACUUUAACCAACUAUUGACCGACGUUGACUGGUCACAUGGUGCUAUUAGAACCUGGCAUGUGUCCUUUUUAAUAUUUUAAUAUUAUAUAUUAUAUUAAUUAAAAAUAUAAAAAUCAUAUAUAAUAUAUAAAUUUUAAAAAGUCAAAAUACUAUAUAAAUAUUGAAUAUAUGGUCAAAUUUAAAAAAGUAUUUAAAUUUUUUAAAAAAUUAAAUUUAAAUACCUUUUUAUAAUUUUAUAAAAAAAUAUUUUUAAAUAUUCUUUACAAAUUUUUAUAAUUUAUUUAUAUGUUUUUUUCUAGAGUAUAUAUAUUUUCUGAAUUUUUUAUAUAUUUAUUUUCAUUUUUAUAUUUUUAAUAUGUAUAUACAUUUAAUAAAAAAUAUUUUUACAUAAAGGUAAACUUUUUCAUAAAUUUCCAUAAUCUAAUAUCAGUUUACUUGAAAUAAUUUAUUAUUUUUUGUCGCUUGAAAUUUUUAAUUUGAAUUUCCAAUUAUGAAAUAACAAAAUCACGUGACAUAUCUGAUAUCUUUUAAUAAAUCGACUAUUACAUAUUAUUUUAAAACCCUAAAAUAUGAAUAAAAAAUAAAUUUUUAUUUAGUGUUAUUAGUCAAGUUGAACAAAUUCAAGUAUGGAAUUUAAAAAUAUAAAUCAAGGGUCCUUCUGUUUUGUACAUAAACUAAUAAAUUAACUAUCUAUUUAAGUGUUGUUGAACAAAUAAAAGAAAAUAAAAACUUUUUAAGGUGAUAUAAGUAAAAUGUUGAGCUUUAGUGAGAUGGUUAUUCUUCUAUCUACUACGAUGUUUUCUACUUUUGAUGGCUACUGUAAAAAUAAAUUCUACUCAAUUUACAACUUGUAUGUAUUCCAGUUGUAAAUUAAGGAGAAGAAAAUAAUAUUAGAAGCUGAAAGCGAAAGGUAAAGUAAAAACUCUUGAAUCCCACCGAAGAAUCAAGUGGAAACUCCAAAGACAAGUUCAACUUUGUCUAUUUGAUGAACUUGCUUCCUGUGCUUUGUCUCAUUUCAUAAAAUAUAUUAGAAUUGUGUACGAUUGGCAGAGAAGUCAAUGUACGGCAGGUAUGUCGUAUUCUGUUGUUAUAGCAUUGAUAAAAUGAUUUGGCCGGUUAGCGAAAGUUAACAUGUGGCUGUUUCACCCCAGUCAUCCAACGGGGGAUGGAAAUUUGGAAGGACAAGGACGACGAUGGAGGCUACCCCUCUGCUCUAUGCUCCACCCUACGUUCUUUUUUCUUCUUGUUGUGAGGCAAAUACAGGAGCAGAAGAUUUUUAAUUUUUAUUGAAAUUCAAUGAUGUAAUUCAAAAAAAGUGCAAGGACAUAAAUUUCAGUUUCAUUUAAACUCACCACCCCCACUAAAUAGGUUCGUAAUUUUGCAUUUACAUAUUUACAUCACAAUUAAAAACUUAAGUAGUAAGAUCACACAACACAACUUCCAAACCAGAUAGCUGCGGUACACAGGAGAAUUUCAAACUUAAGAUUUCUGAUGCCAAUUGUUACAACUGGUAAUUGGAAAGUUCAAGGUAAUCGGAAGUGAGGGGCCUCAACACACCACUAGCUUCAGCCUCUAUCAGCUCCACCUGCCUUUUGAAGAGGUGCAUAUACACCACCCAAUCACCUUCUCUAGCAGGACUCGGCAUCGGCAUGACAUAUCCAGAAUCCCCUCCCCAAGGAAAAUGGUAUGACCCGAAUAGAGGCUUACCCCAUCCGAAAUCCACUUUCGAAACCGGGAAACGCUGCCCCGAUGACACUACAAAAGCCGGUCCCUCCUCGCUGCCAUUGCUAUAUAUCUUAGCCAGUGCUGGCUCAGGACGAUGAGCUUCAACCCAGUCAAUCAGGCCCAGGAAGUGUUCCUUUGUCACCGCUUGCUCCAGGAAGUCAUGUACCUGAUUAGCCACCCACCACAAUGGUUUUUCCAUCAGUUCACUUACUCUCUGCCCUCCAAACGGAAUGGAAAGGACAUUUCCGAAAUAACAACUCAUUGAACUCGCUUUCUCUUCAUCUCCUUCGCCUAAUCUGGCCCUUCCGUCCACCACAAUCCCCAUCUUGGUGGACUUGAAACCGUCCUGUGCAGCAAGGACUGCUAUCAUUUUCCAUAAGAAGGCACUGAAAGACUCGAGCUUGGUCCUUUUGUAUCCGUUAGUGCAGGCCAGUGAUUGAAGUUCGUCGAGUUGCUCAGAAGUGAUGUAAUAUAUACGACUAAUAAGAUGAUCAGUGGGUUGAUAGUGCUGUUUAGGGGGUGGUAGUGAGGAUAUGGGCACAUACAUGUGAUCCAGAGACGGAUCGAUGCACCCUGGACGCCUGGGGUUCACCAGAGACCUUCGAAAAGACGGUACCAAAGAGAUUGACUUGGAUCGAGCCAUUUCAGCCCAUGAUACAAGAAACAUGUUGGCUGAGUAGGCAUCUGCUAUUCGGUGAUCAAAUGUGCAUGCCACCACUAUUCCGCCGCAUCUGAGUUCUGUUGCCUGUAAAGGUUAAAGUGAUCAUUCCAAGGAGAUUACAAAUCGUUAUUGUUAACUAUUAAAGCUACCUUUUUUUGUUUGUAAUCUUAUAAACUUGAUUCUUCCUUUAAAGAUGAAUCAAGAUUCAUUCUAUCACUAUCAUCCAUUUAAUUAUGAAAAAUUAAAUAUUGAAAUACUACGAUAAUAUCUAUGUAUGCAUUUACUAUUAUUUGAGCCUUCUAAAAGAAAUUACUGAGUUGAUGUUGGGAAAUGAAAAAAUAUAUAUUUGAAAAGAUAAAUCAUUUUGGGUGGUCUAAGAGCAGGCUAGAAAAGGAAGUUGUCACCCCCACCAAAUUUGUCGUCAUCUAGUGGAAAGGGUGAAUAAAAAUAUUCUCCAGAUCUUUUGGUUAUAAUUCCCAUAUUAAUUCUGAGCCAGAAGGAAUGAAUUUGAGUGUGUUUCUUAAUUAUUAUUCAGACGUCAGGGAAAUGGUUGAAGUUAUAGGAGGGAAUCCUUUAUAAUACCUGAACUGAGAGCACUCCAUGUUUCUUCUCAGGUACGAGUCUGCCUUCAAUGCUCUCAUCAGGGUUAUGCAAGUCGAGGUCUCGAAGCUCAACAUCAGCAUAAGCUUCUACGAAAUCCACCCCACGGUUGUUGCAAAGAAGCUCGGGUUCGCCCACAGUGUUAGCCACAACCUCGCCCGCAAAGGCGUAGUAGGAGACCAGAGCCUGAGCCAUGGCUUUCUUCAGGACACUGGCCAUGGAAGUGAAGCUCACGAUGCUGCCUUCUGGUUUCUUGUAACAAAAGAAAACUCCCACGUCGACGGGAGGCAGAAGCAAGUCAAGGUUAGAGAGUGGUAGCCAGUGUUGUUGCAAUGGUAACACUGCUGCCACA